rnacentral:rRNA from 1 species
UACGGAGGGGACUAGCGUUGUUCGGAAUUACUGGGCGUAAAGCGCACGUAGGCGGAUUUGUAAGUCAGGGGUGAAAUCCCGGGGCUCAACCUCGGAACUGCCUUUGAUACUGCAAAUCUCGAGUCCGGAAGAGGUGAGUGGAAUUCCUAGUGUAGAGGUGAAAUUCGUAGAUAUUAGGAAGAACACCAGUGGCGAAGGCGGCUCACUGGACCGGUACUGACGCCGAGGCGCGAAAGCGUGGGGAGCAAACAGG